UCUGUUCCUGCACGGGACAGCGCGGUCGCCGCCAGCGUCGCCUUUUCUUCUCCGCGGCACUGUCCGCCGCGGACCCUCGUCCUCCAGAAUUCCCAGGGGUAGCAAGGAGAGGGUCAGAGGCGGAGCAGCCGCAGCGGCCAGCGGCCACCGGCGGAGACGCGGCGACGCGAGGCAAGAAGUGAUGGAGUACCGCAACAAGAUGGUGCUCGCGCCCAUGGUCCGCGCGGGUACUCUGCCGUUUAGGCUAUUGGCUGCUGAAUAUGGCGCGGAUAUUACGUACGGAGAAGAAAUAAUAGAUCACAAGUUUGUGAACUGUCAACGCGUUAUAAAUGAAUCUCUUGGGACAACUGAUUUUGUGGAGAGAGGGACUGAUAGUGUUGUUUUCCGAACAUGCCCGCAAGAAAGGGACAAGGUUGUCUUUCAAAUCGGCACAUCAGAUGCUGUCAGAGCACUUAAAGCUGCUGAGCUUGUGUGUAAUGAUAUUGCUGCUAUAGAUAUCAACAUGGGUUGUCCAAAGGCUUUUUCUGUCAGUGGAGGAAUGGGUUCUGCAUUACUCUCCAAACCUGAGCUUAUACAUGAUAUUUUGACUACAUUGCGGAGGAACUUGAACACACCAGUGACAUGUAAAAUCCGUCUACUGAACACACGUCAGGACACUGUGGAGUUGGCACGCCGGAUUGAGAAAUGUGGUGUUCCAGCUCUGGCUGUCCAUGGAAGAAAGGUCAAAGACAGGCCAAGGGAUCCGGCUAAGUGGGAUGAGAUUGCUGAUGUUGUAUCCGCACUGUCAAUUCCAGUUAUAGCUAAUGGGAAUGUAUUUGAGUACGAAGAUUUUAAGAGAAUCAAAGAUGCUACAGGUGCCACAUCUGUAAUGGCUGCUAGAGGUGCCUUGUGGAAUGCCUCCAUUUUCUCUGCUAAAGGCAAAGUACCUUGGGAGGAUUUCAAAAGAGAGUAUGUGAGAAAGACUAUUUUGUGGGACAACGAUAUUAAGAGCACAAAGACAACGCUAAGAGAAAUCAUAAUGCACUACAUUUGCCUUGAAGGGACUGAAGGGAAAGGUGUGAUAAAGUGUGGUUCGUCAGCAGAUGUAGCGAGACUUUAUGGGGAAGAGGAUUACUAUAAUUUUGUUGUUUCAAAUAGGAAAUGAACAAAACAGGAUUUUGCUAACCUCUAUAUGACCCAGCUUCUGCUUGGAUCCCUCGGUUGGUUUUAUGAAUGUUUUUUCCGGAGAUCUUUGCAUGAGUUUUGGAGAAAUUCACAUAUCACCAAAGAGUGCAGUUUUGGCUUUUGCACUGUGCCAUCUUGGUAUCUGAUCAAGAUCAACUGAGGAUUCACGGAUUCCUUAUUUCGUGGGGCAUGAAACUGCCUCCUGUAUUAUGGAUUCUGGAAGCACAAAGUCUGCAUCACCCGUGACAUCAGAGACCAUAGAUGAUCACAUGCUAUUUCUUCUGGAAGGACUUGUUGAUAUAUAUGCUACUUUAUCAUAAAUAUCUCACUCAGAUAAUUGUUGCAGCGGACCAAUUAUUUUCCCUGGUUGCCGUCUUCUAGAUGCCCAGAGCAAUGUUUUUCUUCUUCUUUGGGGUAAUUCAAACCAAUUUUACUGAGCAAUAUUUCAAAAGACAUAACUUUCUGUGUUGC